CUUAUUACUUUGAAACUGUAGACCCCGAGGGAAAUGUGAGAGAAUUUAACCUUACAGAUGGUGGUGUUUCUGCUAAUAAUCCGGGCCUAUAGCCUGCCUACAGCAGUGUUUCAGUAAAAUUCGGCUUAAACCAUGUCUAUAGCUGCAUUUCUUUAAACUCGGCUACAGGUUUGGUAUUAAAAAAAAAUAAAAAAAAAUAAAAAAAUAAAAAAAACCUCAGAUUAUUCUCUCUCUAAUCUGGUCUCUCACUCUCCCUUUGACUCCAAACCCUCACCGCCGAUCCCCCCCUCUACCACCGAUCCUCCUCACCAUGGCCGAAGCCUUUCACAUCUCAGCCUCAACUUCUCUCUAAAACCAAAACCUAUAAACUCUCCCACUCUAGAUCGGUCUCACCCUCUCUUCGAUCUAAAUGACGCACAGCCUCCUAGCUCCGUCGUGAAGCCCAGCCGCCACCACCACGAUGGUGGUUCCCAAUCUCUCAUCACUUCACGGAUCUGCCAAGAACCGUGGCAGAUCCAGUUCCAGUUUCAGUUCCAGGACCAGGUCGUUAAAAUUAUUGGGUUGAUUUCAAUCCAACCGUUUUUGGGCAGAGAGGAGAGAACAGAUUCGGAGAUUUGGUUGCAGAAAAGUCCAAUCGUUUCGUUGGAACGAACUGAUUGGCCUUGGAAGGUGUUUUUGCCUCAAGGGUCGGAUAAGGAUCAUGAGGCAGUCAAUGUGAGUGGGCCCAACGCGGUUGAUAUUUUGGGUUUGGAGUAUCCGGAAACAGUUGUGUUUGUUGGGGGAUUUGACCCAUUACAGGAUUGGCAGAGGAGUUACUAUGAGUGGUUGAAGAAAUCUGGGAAACAGGCUCCCUUAAUUGAGUAUCCAGACAUGAUGCAUGCGUUUUAUGUGUUUCUGGAAUUGCCUCAGUCGUCUCAGUUGAUAGCACAGCCAGCCUCCCCUCCUGAGUGCUAUGGUUCAUGCCAUAUACAGCAGGACUAGUGAUAUGCAAUUGGUUAGAAAAUCUCUCCCUGCACU